CGCGGCCUAUCAGCUUGUUGGUGAGGUAAAGGCUCACCAAGGCAUUGACGGGUAGCUGGUCUGAGAGGACGAUCAGCCGCACUGGGACUGAGACACGGCCCAGACUCCUGCGGGAGGCAGCAGUGGGGAAUCUUGCGCAAUGGGCGAAAGCCUGACGCAGCAACGCCGCGUGGGGGAUGAAGGCUCUCGGGUUGUAAACCCCUUUCAGCAGGGACGAAAUUGACGGUACCUGUAGAAGAAGCCCCGGCCAACUACGUGCCAGCAGCCGCGGUAACACGUAGGGGGCAAGCGUUGUCCGGAAUUAUUGGGCGUAAAGGGCUCGUAGGCGGUUCGGUAAGUCAGAUGUGAAAGGUUGGGGCUCAACCCUAAGACUGCAUUUGAUACUGCCGUGACUGGAGUCCGGUAGAGGAGUGUGGAAUUCCUGGUGUAGCGGUGAAAUGCGCAGAUAUCAGGAGGAACACCGACGGCGAAGGCAGCACUCUGGGCCGGUACUGACGCUGAGGAGCGAAAGCGUGGGUAGCAAACAGGAUUAGAUACCCUGGUAGUCCACGCCGUAAACGUUGGGCACUAGGUGUGGGGCCUUAUCAACGGGUUCCGUGCCGUAGCUAACGCAUUAAGUGCCCCGCCUGGGGAGUACGG
rnacentral:rRNA from 1 species